GACGUAGGGCGCGAGCGUUGUCCGGAUUUAUUGGGCGUAAAGAGCUCGUAGGCGGCUUGUCGCGUCGACUGUGAAAGCCCGCGGCUCAACCGCGGGUCUGCAGUCGAUACGGGCAGGCUAGAGUUCGGUAGGGGAGACUGGAAUUCCUGGUGUAGCGGUGAAAUGCGCAGAUAUCAGGAGGAACACCGGUGGCGAAGGCGGUUCUCUGGGCAUUACCUGACGCUGAGGAGCGAAAGUGUGGGGAGCGAACAGG
rnacentral:rRNA from 1 species